UUGGAAAUGGGCAGAGACUACUGCAGAUCCUUUUAACAGAAUUCUGGGCAUAAACUAAACCAUAUGAUUGUAUAGAGCUGUGAACCUUUACCUGUCUUUGAUAUAUUCCUAUUUUACAAUGCUGUAGUAAUAGAACAUAAAUUGUGGAAAACUGAUAAUGAUGCAAGUAAUUCCUCUCCUACAAUGCAAAUGCAUUCUUGUUCAGAAGAACAUAAAGUAGGGCUGGGGAUUUAGCUCAGCGGCACAGCACCUGCCUGACAAGCGCAAGGUCGUGAGUUCGAUUCCCGGUACCGGAAACCGCCCCCCACCAAAAAAAAAAAAAAAAAAGAAGAACAUAAAGUAAAUUCUCCUUUGGACCAAUUUUAACAUUUUAUUGCUUCUUCAUUAAUUGAGUUAAAUAAAAUCAUUAGCACAUGCUCAUUUUCUACUUAUAAGACAGUCAUGAUUUCAAUGUUAUAGGUCCUUCAACAACUACUGGAAGACAUGGUCCUCAAAGGCAUUAUCCAUGCAAUAGUCAUAUCUGAGACUUCAGGGCAUGGCAGGGAGUGGUUUCUGUUCCCCACAUCCUGACUGCAUUUUAUACCCUCACAUCAAUGAAUUCAUCUUCUGGGAAACAGUUUCCUGG
rnacentral:lncRNA from 1 species